CAGACAAGUCUAGAAGAAAUGGGACAACAGAUAAUCCAUGAAUAUGAGAAGAGUGAAUGAAACCUAGUGUUGAUAGAGAAGCUGAUGCAUACUACUUUUGCUCUUCGUCGCAUGGAGCUCAUCCAGGAAAACCCAGAGUUGGGGGGGCUUCCUUGAGAAAUGGCCAGCACUUCAGCUCGAAUCACAAGUAAAGCAGACUUUUUUUGAAUUCCCCUUUCACACAUUUUUCCUUCAUUUUCCUUCAUUUGUUGUUAUUCAUUUACAUGUGUGUAUAAGGUUUGUGCUGAGUUUCAUCGCAUCACAAAUGUCAACCUAAGGAACCAGUUUUAUGCUGAACUUGACCGACACACACCUCGACUGAUGGCCCUGUACAGACAGAAAGCAACACGCACUGGCAAGAUAUCAGAGACACUUUGUAACAUCCUACAGACAUAUGAUCUCCAGCAAGUUCACAAUGUCAGCUUGAAACGUACUCUUCCCUUCAUGUCCUCCCAGUGUAUCUGCGUGAGAAGGAUCCACAGUUCUUCAAGACUUGGAAUAUGGUGGAGUCGCAUGAGCCAGACAUUGCUGAUACUCAUGUCGUUCUUGUCACUGUGGUCACUGAGAACACUACAGGUCCAGUCGAAUUCAGCCCUGCAAGCGUUGCUAUUGUGUUGGAAGGUGACCUUGUGAUGCGCGAUAUUCCCAGGUUUGCUGAUGCAUUUGCAUUGCAUUUGGACUAUCAGAGAAGACUGAUUCACACGGUUACCUUCAUCCAAAAAAUACUGAUGGGGCUCGAUGAUGGUAAACCACUGAAACCUUGCCUGCACACUCUCAAAAAUGACCUGUUACUGAGAGCAUAGGCCAUGUCAGAAGGUGUUUGUGUGUUCUUGUAUGUACAUAUUUUUCACUGUACAUAUAGCAUUGUUCUGGUUUUCAGUAUCAUAUGUUGAUACUAUCUUGUUGGACGCUAUUUAAAACAUUUAAAAAAAUGUUUACGUUUCGUUGCAUAUGUCUGCACUAAAAAAUCUACCUCUGUUGGUGUUGGUGUGCUAAUACAACUGCACCCAGUUAUACUAUAAUACUGUGAGAUGUGCCUUGUGAAAUAGGUUAGGCAUAUUUAAUUUGUUGCUUUAUGUUUACAAAUGGCAGAGCUUGAUCUUUUUUUUUUUUUCUUUUAGCUUUAUUUUUUUAUUGAUUUACUUUUACUUUUUUGGUUUCAUUUCCAGUGUAGCAACCAUGGCUGCAAAAUUAUAUUAUUUCCUGUUUCAGAAAAUCAGACAACAAGUUUUAAACGUUUAAGCACUUUAACGGAGAGUUUCCAGUUCUCCUUUUUUACUGUACAUUUUAUAUUUGAUGUAUGUAUAG